AGAAUGAACGCUGGCGGCGCGCCUAAUACAUGCAAGUCGAGCGAGAAGACGUAGCAAUACGUUUGUAAAGCGGCGAACGGGUGAGGAAUACAUGGGUAACCUACCCUUGAGUGGGGAAUAACUAGCCGAAAGGUUAGCUAAUACCGCGUACCGCUCCUUGGACUUCGGUUCAGGAAGGAAAGCGCUACCGUGGGUAGCGCGCUCUUGGAUGGGCUCAUGUCCUAUCAGCUUGUUGGUGAGGUAACGGCUCACCAAGGCUUCGACGGGUAGCUGGUCUGAGAGGACGAUCAGCCACACUGGCACUGCGACACGGGCCAGACUCCGUACGGAGGCAGCAGUAAGGAUAUGCGCAAGUGGGACGAAGCCUGACGCACGCGACCGGCCGGCGGUGGGGGAUGGAGGUCGUUCGGUAGUUUACCGGUUAAACCCCGUUUGGGAA
rnacentral:rRNA from 1 species